GGUUAAGCGACUAAGCGUACACGGUGGAUGCCCUGGCAGUCAGAGGCGAUGAAGGACGUGCUAAUCUGCGAUAAGCGUCGGUAAGGUGAUAUGAACCGUUAUAACCGGCGAUUUCCGAAUGGGGAAACCCAGUGUGUUUCGACACACUAUCAUUAACUGAAUCCAUAGGUUAAUGAGGCGAACCGGGGGAACUGAAACAUCUAAGUACCCCGAGGAAAAGAAAUCAACCGAGAUUCCCCCAGUAGCGGCGAGCGAACGGGGAGCAGCCCAGAGCCUGAAUCAGUGUGUGUGUUAGUGGAAGCGUCUGGAAAGGCGCGCGAUACAGGGUGACAGCCCCGUACACAAAAAUGCACAUGCUGUGAGCUCGAUGAGUAGGGCGGGACACGUGGUAUCCUGUCUGAAUAUGGGGGGACCAUCCUCCAAGGCUAAAUACUCCUGACUGACCGAUAGUGAACCAGUACCGUGAGGGAAAGGCGAAAAGAACCCCGGCGAGGGGAGUGAAAAAGAACCUGAAACCGUGUACGU
rnacentral:rRNA from 1 species